CUACGUGCCAGCAGCCGCGGUAAUACGUAGGGCGCGAGCGUUGUCCGGAAUUAUUGGGCGUAAAGAGCUUGUAGGCGGUUUGUCGCGUCUGCUGUGAAAGGCCGGGGCUUAACCCCGUGUAUUGCAGUGGGUACGGGCAGACUAGAGUGCAGUAGGGGAGACUGGAACUCCUGGUGUAGCGGUGGAAUGCGCAGAUAUCAGGAAGAACACCGAUGGCGAAGGCAGGUCUCUGGGCUGUAACUGACGCUGAGAAGCGAAAGCAUGGGGAGCGAACAGGAUUAGAUACCCUGGUAGUCCAUGCCGUAAACGUUGGGCACUAGGUGUGGGGGACAUUCCACGUUUUCCGCGCCGUAGCUAACGCAUUAAGUGCCCCGCCUGGGGAGUACGACCGCAAGGCUAAAACUCAAAGAAAUUGACGGGGGCCCGCACAAGCGGCGGAGCAUGCGGAUUAAUUCGAUGCAACGCGAAGAACCUUACCAAGGCUUGACAU
rnacentral:rRNA from 1 species